GCAUAGUUGUGGAUUGAGGACCAUCCAUCCCUCCCCAGGGGUUCCCACAGUGUCCCAUGCCAGAGCAAACUGUGACUCCAAACCAUUGUCCUUUGUACUCAUAAGAUGCAUAGAAGUGGGUGCCACAUGA
rnacentral:snoRNA from 1 species